AAUUGAGUUUAAAUUGAAAUUUCUGGACUAAUUAGACAAAAAGUUUAAAAUAUGAUAAAUUGAAUCUCCUCAAUAAGUACAGGGGUGAAAAUUGAGCUUUAAGCCUCCGAGAAUCCUAUCAGAAGCAACCUGAAAACUCGGAAUAAAAAAAGAACUACUAUGCAAAUUCAAAUAUGCAGCACUUGUAGAAAGUGAAAUAAAUAAUGCAGGAUUUGAGUUCAUUGUUGUAUGAAACAGUCCAAAAUUCUCCAAGACAUUCCUUGGAUCAAGUUGGGCAGAAAUCUUUUCUGUAUAGGCCCCCAAAAAACAUGUGGGAAGUGGAGUUCAGAAGAGAAGAAACAACUCAAGAAAAGCUUGGUGGAGAUAUUAUAUUACGCUGUUAGAUACAAUACCGUGGCAUAUUCAUAGGGAGGCUGAUCACUGGGUUAAGUAGCCAUACAUUUCUAAUACUUAUGGUUGGGUUAAAAUUAUAGUUUGAAAUCUUUUUGAGAGAUGAUGAUUGAAUGGCAGUCAACUAGCAACAUUUGGAACAUAGUAGUUACGCCAAGUCCAAGCUGUGUAUAAAGAAGAACAACAAGACUAGAAAAAGGUAAAACUGAAAUAAAAAUGUACUUCAUGUCCCUCAUAUGUUGAGAUACAUAAGAGAGAGAAAAAAAAAAAAGAAAAAAAG
rnacentral:misc_RNA from 1 species